rnacentral:rRNA from 1 species
UCCUACGGGAGGCAGCAGUGGGGAAUUUUGGACAAUGGGGGCAACCCUGAUCCAGCCAUUCCGCGUGAGUGAAGAAGGCCUUCGGGUUGUAAAGCUCUUUUGUCCGGAGCGAAACGGGCGGCCCUAAUACGGUCGUCUACUGACGGUACCGGAAGAAUAAGCACCGGCUAACUACGUGC